GAUGAACGCUGGCGGCGUGCCUAAUACAUGCAAGUCGAGCGAACAGACGAGGGGCUUUCUCCUCUGACGUUAGCGGCGGACGGGUGAGUAACACGUGGAUAACCUACCUAUAAGACUGGGAUAACUUCGGGAAACCGGAGCUAAUACCGGGUAAUAUAUUUAACUUCAUGGUUCAAUAGUGAAAGACGGUUUUGCUGUCACUUAUAGAUGGAUCCGCGCCGCAUUAGCUAGUUGGUAAGGUAACGGCUUACCAAGGCAACGAUGCGUAGCCGACCUGAGAGGGUGAUCGGCCACACUGGAACUGAGACACGGUCCAGACUCCUACGGGAGGCAGCAGUAGGGAAUCUUCCGCAAUGGGCGAAAGCCUGACGGAGCAACGCCGCGUGAGUGAUGAAGGUCUUCGGAUCGUAAAACUCUGUUAUUAGGGAAGAACAAAUGUGUAAGUAACUAUGCACGUCUUGACGGUACCUAAUCAGAAAGCCACGGCUAACUACGUG
rnacentral:rRNA from 1 species